rnacentral:rRNA from 1 species
UAGGGAAUCUUCGGCAAUGGGGGCAACCCUGACCGAGCAACGCCGCGUGAGUGAAGAAGGUUUUCGGAUCGUAAAGCUCUGUUGUAAGAGAAGAACGUGUGUGAGAGUGGAAGGUUCACGCAGUGACGGUAACUUACCAGAAAGGGACGGCUAACUACGUACCAG